UCUCCGGGAAUUAUAAUUUCAAGACUUUUGCACCAUCUGUGGUAUCAGGACAGAGGAUCUUCAUCUGGAAUUUUCCCUCUGAAUAUGACUUUGGGUUUCUCAAGUAAUGAAAGCGUCAAUGAAGGCAUGAUAAUGUAUGGUAAACAAAAUUGGGUUUCUCAAGUAAGAAGGUUCUGUUCAUCAAUUGUGAACCAACGAAAAUCAAUAUUACCUCUCUCUCAUUCUCAGGAAGUAUUUUUGACAGAAAUGCCUUUGUUACUCAGCGCUGUUGUUGGCAUUCUAUUAAUUCAUCCAUCGAUAGGAGCAGCAGCUGUUGAUUCUUUGG